CCCUUAGAUGUUCUGGGCUGCACGCGCGCUACACUGAUGCGCUCAACGAGUUUUAACCUUGCCUGGAAAGGUUGGGUAAUCUUUUUAAAACGCAUCGUGAUGGGGAUAGAUUAUUGCAAUUAUUAAUCUUCAACGAGGAAUUCCUAGUAAGCGCGAGUCAUCAGCUCGUGCUGAUUACGUCCCUGCCCUUUGUACACACCGCCCGUCGCUCCUACCGAUUGAACGUUCCGGUGAGACCUUGGGAUUUGGUCUUUGAUACUUUAUUGUGUCGUUGACCGAAAAACUUGAGCAAACCUUAACGUUUAGAGGAAGGUGAAGUCGUAACA
rnacentral:rRNA from 1 species